CCCUGCAGCACGGCCCGUCUGUCCUCUGUCCUCACAUGAAGACAGAGACUGAGAGACGGCCUCAGCAGCUCAGGAGAGAAACCACAGAGCAGAGGAAGAGGGCGGGCUUCAAUGACUGUGUUGAACAGCGGCCAGCAGGCUGACUGUGAGAGCGGACACCAUGGAGGACAGACGUCUGCUGGCUCUGACCUCUCUGAUCAUCUACACAGCAACGCUUCCAGCAGCUCUGGUCCCUGUUUCAGCGUUCUCAGCAGGACUGACUGUGAGUCCCAGCAGGUCUCAGUUCCUUCAAGGAGACUCAGUGUCUCUGAGCUGUGAGGAGGACGGAUGGACAGUGUGGA